AGUGGCGGACGGGUGAGUAACACGUGGGUAACCUGCCCUUAAGUGGGGGAUAACAUUUGGAAACAGAUGCUAAUACCGCAUAGAUCCAAGAACCGCAUGGUUCUUGGCUGAAAGAUGGCGUAAGCUAUCGCUUUUGGAUGGACCCGCGGCGUAUUAGCUAGUUGGUGAGGUAAUGGCUCACCAAGGCGAUGAUACGUAGCCGAACUGAGAGGUUGAUCGGCCACAUUGGGACUGAGACACGGCCCAAACUCCUACGGGAGGCAGCAGUAGGGAAUCUUCCACAAUGGACGCAAGUCUGAUGGAGCAACGCCGCGUGAGUGAAGAAGGCUUUCGGGUCGUAAAACUCUGUUGUUGGAGAAGAAUGGUCGGCAGAGUAACUGUUGUCGGCGUGACGGUAUCCAACCAGAAAGCCACGGCUAACUACGUGCCAGCAGCCGCGGUAAUACGUAGGUGGCAAGCGUUAUCCGGAUUUAUUGGGCGUAAAGCGAGCGCAGGCGGUUUUUUAAGUCUGAUGUGAAAGCCCUCGGCUUAACCGAGGAAGCGCAUCGGAAACUGGGAAACUUGAGUGCAGAAGAGGACAGUGGAACUCCAUGUGUAGCGGUGAAAUGCGUAGAUAUAUGGAAGAACACCAGUGGCGAAGGCGGCUGUCUGGUCUGUAACUGACGCUGAGGCUCGAAAGCAUGGGUAGCGAACAGGAUUAGAUACCCUGGUAGUCCAUGCCGUAAACGAUGAAUGCUAGGUGUUGGAGGGUUUCCGCCCUUCAGUGCCGCAGCUAACGCAUUAAGCAUUCCGCCUGGGGAGUACGACCGCAAGGUUGAAACUCAAAGGAAUUGACGGGGGCCCGCACAAGCGGUGGAGCAUGUGGUUUAAUUCGAAGCAACGCGAAGAACCUUACCAGGUCUUGACAU
rnacentral:rRNA from 2 species